UGUUUUUUUCUGUAUCAUUAAGUUCUUUCUCCACCAUCAGUACAUUUAUCAGGGAUACAUGAGAUUGAUUGACAGCGCUAAGCCCCUCCUCCUGGCUGUGAUUGGUUGUUUUUGGCCAGAAGGGGUGCAUUA